rnacentral:rRNA from 1 species
AUCGCUGAUAGAUAGGCAUGCGUUCCAUUAGGCAGUUGGCGGGGUAACGGCCCACCAAACCGACGAUGGAUAGGGGUUCUGAGAGGAAGGUCCCCCACAUUGGUACUGAGACACGGACCAAACUCCUACGGGAGGCAGCAGUGAGGAAUAUUGGUCAAUGGCCGAGAGGCUGAACCAGCCAAGUCGCGUGAAGGAAGAAGGAUCUAUGGUUUGUAAACUUCUUUUAUAGGGGAAUAAAGUGGAGGACGUGUCCUUUUUUGUAUGUACCCUAUGAAUAAGCAUCGGCUAACUCCGUGCCAGCAGCCGCGGUAAUACGGAGGAUGCGAGCGUUAUCCGGAUUUAUUGGGUUUAA